rnacentral:tRNA from 1 species
GAGGGUAUAGCACAGUGGUAGAGUGCGUGCUUAGCAUGCAUGAGGUCCUGGGUUUGAUCCCCAGUACCUCCA